rnacentral:rRNA from 1 species
GACGGGGGAUGCAAGCGUUAUCCGGGAUCACUGGGCGUAAAGCGUCUGUAGGUGGUGAUGCAAGUCACUGGUGCAAAACUCUGGCUCAACCGGAGGAAAGCCAGUGAAACUGCAUGACUAGAGUGUGGGGGAGGUAGAAGGAAUUCCCUGAGUAGCGGUGAAAUGCGUAGAUACAGGGAAGAACACCGGAGGCGAAAGCGUUCUACUGGAACACAACUGACACUGAGAGACGAAAGCUAGGGGAGCGAAGGGG